rnacentral:ncRNA from 4 species
GACCUCGGAUCAGGUAGGGAUACCCG